rnacentral:rRNA from 1 species
CAGCCGCCGCGGGAAUACGUAGGGUGCAAGCGUUAAUCGGAAUUACUGGGCGUAAAGCGUGCGCAGGCGGUUCGCUAAGACAGAUGUGAAAUCCCCGGGCUUAACCCGGGAACUGCAUUUGUGACUGGCGGGCUAGAGUACGGCAGAGGGGGGUAGAAUUCCACGUGUAGCAGUGAAAUGCGUAGAGAUGUGGAGGAAUACCGAUGGCGAAGGCAGCCCCUUGGGCCAAUACUGACGCUCAUGCACGAAAGCGUGGGGAGCAAACAGGAUUAGAUACCCCGGUAGUCCCUGUCUCUUAUAC